UGCAAGUCGUACGUGAAAGUCCUUCGGGAUGAGUAAAGUGGCGCACGGGUGAGUAACACGUGAGUUAUCUGCCUUCGGGUGGGGAAUACCAACCGGAAACGGUUGUUAAUACCGCAUAACGCUUGCGCUGUAAUGGCGUAUGUUAAAGCGGGGGAUCAGCAAUGACCUCGCGCCUGAAGAGGAGCUCGCGGCAGAUUAGGUAGUUGGUGAGGUAAUGGCUCACCAAGCCUGCGAUCUGUAACCGGCCUGAGAGGGCGGUCGGUCACACUGACACUGACAUACGGGUCAGACUCCUACGGGAGGCAGCAGUCGGUAAUUUUGGGCAAUGGGCGAAAGCCUGACCCAGCAACGCCGCGUGAAGGAUGAAGCAUUUCGGUGUGUAAACUUCGCAAGAAUAGGAAGAAUAAGUUUGAACAAAUAAUUCAAACGAUGACGGUACUAUUUAUAAGCUCCGGCUAACUUCGUGCCAGCAGCCGCGGUAAUACGAGGGGAGCAAGCGUUGUUCGGAUUUACUGGGCGUAAAGGGUGCGUAGGCGGCACCACAAGUCACUUGUGAAAUCUUUGGGCUUAACCCAAAGCGGCCAAGUGAUACUGUGGAGCUAGAGUGCAGAAGGG
rnacentral:rRNA from 1 species